rnacentral:rRNA from 1 species
UACAGAGGUCCCGAGCGUUGUUCGGAUUCAUUGGGCGUAAAGGGUGCGUAGGCGGCGGGGAAAGUCUGAUGUGAAAUCCUGGGGCUCAACCCUGGAACUGCAUUGGAUACUUCCUUGCUAGAGUACUGGAGAGGAAACUGGAAUUUACGGUGUAGCAGUGAAAUGCGUAGAGAUCGUAAGGAAGACCAGUGGCGAAGGCGAGUUUCUGGACAGUUACUGACGCUGAGGCAGCGAAGGCCAGGGGAGCAAACGGG